rnacentral:rRNA from 1 species
GCAGAUCGCAUGAUCAGCUUUUAAAAGGCGGCGUAAGCUGUCGCUAUGGGAUGGCCCCGCGGUGCAUUAGCUAGUUGGUAAGGUAAAGGCUUACCAAGGCGAUGAUGCAUAGCCGAGUUGAGAGACUGAUCGGCCACAUUGGGACUGAGACACGGCCCAAACUCCUCGGGAGGCAGCAGUAGGGAAUCUUCCACAAUGGACGCAAGUCUGAUGGAGCAACGCCGCGUGAGUGAAGAAGGUUUUCGGAUCGUAAAGCUCUGUUGUUGGUGAAGAAGGAUAGAGGUAGUAACUGGCCUUUAUUGACGGUAAUCAACCAGAAAUCACGGGCUAACUACGUGCCCAGCAGCCGCGGUAAAAU